rnacentral:lncRNA from 1 species
UCUCUUUCAUGCUUUCCCGGACAUAAUCUAUAGUGUGCGCCAGGCGAUUGUGCUUAAGUUGGUCUGUCCUGAGGAAGUUCUGAGAAAGGGCUGUGCUGUUUUGUUAAUAUUUAGUAUGCGCUCACUGGUGUUUAUUUACAUGUUUGUCUGAACCACCCGACCUUCCCUGGGUCACUGCUUUGUCACAGUUGUGUAUAAAACUGAGUGCACUGAGACUGAAGUAAGGCUGCCCACAGCAUUAGACUACAGUCCACCCUGUUCUUUCAAGUCCUCAAAUCCCAGGUCUCCUAAGAAUCAGAUUUCCUGACUGGCCAAAGUCAACACCAAUCAGGAUUUUGCUGUAUCCCAGGCUGGCCUGGAACUAUACAUGAAGCCACAUAGUGUCACACAUGUGGCUCUCCUGCCUCUGUCUUCCCUUGCCAAAAUUACUGCUGUGUACCACACUGACCAGCUAACUUUGGGGUCACGGAGUAAACAGAGGCAGACAUGGUGACACAUGCCUGCAAUUCCAGCACUCGAAGGCUGGUGGAGGAAAUUAUGAUUUUUAAGACUAGCCUGGACUCCACUGUGAGUCACAGACAAAUCAAAGCUAAAGAGUGAGACUCUGUCUCAAAACAAUAUAAAAAUAAUUGUGUGGAAAAAAAUAUGGCUUCUUUGAAUAAAAACAGAAGUUACCUC